CGGGGGGGUCCGAGGAGGCGGAGGCGCUGGCGGAGUGACACGCGCGGAGGGUGAGGGUCAGCCCGGCCUAGGAGUAGGUUCCAUACCCAUGAUGGAGCCCAAUACAGAGCUCGAACUCAUGAUCCUGAGAUCAAAACCUGAGCUGAAAUCAAGACUCAAAUACUUAAGCAACUAAGUCACCCAGGUGCCUCGAGAAUUCUUCUAACUGAACAUGUAUGAGUUUGGAGACUUCUGAUCAAUUACAUACAAGUAGUUUUCAUGGACCAAUAUCUAUAAAGGCCAUUUGGAAGCUUCAAACAGCAUUUCCGAUUUUGAGGCACAAAGAGGUGAGAACUUGGGGAUCCACCGAAGUCUGAGGCACGGUGGUACCAGAAGAGAUGAAGGGGCCUUCUGCAUGAAGCUGGUCCCCCGUUGACAGCACUCUGAUUUCUCCAUUGGGUUCUAUCAGCAUAUCCACCGUCAGGUUGGUGACACUUUCUACAGACCACGCUGGUGAAAAUACCAGAGUAAUAAGUCAGUGAAUUCCAAAAGUGAAGAUUUUGGUCGGAUCUGGUGCCACGAUAGGAAAGUCUGAAUCUUCUCAAGGGCAUCCCUGUCUCACCCAGGGGCAUGGAGGACAGACGUCCAGAAGCAAAUGGCACAGUCGGAGGCAGAGAGUAAAAACUCGUUCUGAAUCUGUUCCAAAUACCCGUGUCUGCUCUGUGGUUUUCAGCAAAGCAGAUAUUUCCAAAAGAACUCCAAGGGGGACUUCCUGGAUGUGAAAACACGAACCAAUUCUCGUUUCUCUCAUCUUUUGCUUUAUUCCUUCCUUCCACGCUGUUAUUGCGAAAAACUGGCAGUUAAAUUCAAUUGAUUCAGAAUAUUCCGGAUCCAUAUGGCCGCCAACCCUGGAGCUGAGGCGGCCAUAGCGCCUCACUGCUGUUCUCAAGCAUUUGCCUCUCCCCUAGUCCCCAGAUGGUGGGAGUAGCAUUUAAACCUCCUUUUCUCUGCCUUGUACAAUAGACCUUGGCACCAUUUCAACUGUUUACUCCGGUAAUUAACAGCUCUGAUACCACAACAAUUACAACUCCUACACUCUCACCACAAUAAUGCUAUGAAUUAGUGAGAGCUAAUGGCUGGAAGGUAGAGUGUUUCCAGACUGUGAGAUCUGUGCAUUUUUAGAAUAAAAUAAAAGGUACAAACAGCACGCUUGCAGUAGACAAUGAUUACCUAGUAAUUAGUUUACACAAAGCUUCCUAUUUAAUGGCAAAACGCUGUAAUUAACGUGUGACAGAAAAUCAAAGGGUACUUUGUAAGCAUAUGAAAAAUUAACACUGCAGGCCCAUAGCUUUAUGUACUGAUUAGAAGCAUAUUAAAUCAAUAGGACACACAAACCAACAGCUUGUGUAGCUGGUUAUUAUAGGUCCUCGGAAGGGGGACCCGGCUUUCAUGUACUUGGGGAGGCAAUUUCCCUUCUCCUGUCCUCUUUCUCCAGCCCAGUAAAGUACCUCAAACCUUUCCCUGGCAGCUUCAUGAAAAUAACCAUUGAACUGGAAGAAAACAUUCUAAG